GCCCUGGAGUCCCUGAUUUCACACUGCCAAGAAAAGCCUCUAGCGAGGCGGGAGGUGCCCGUACCGCAAACCGACACAGGUAGGCGAGAAGAGAAUUCUAAGGUGAGCGAGUGAACUCUCGUUAAGGAACUCGGCAAAAUGACCCCGUAACUUCGGGAGAAGGGGUGCUCUGGUAGGGUGUAUAGCCCGAGAGAGCCGCAGUGAAUAGGCCCAGGCGACUGUUUAGCAAAAACACAGGUCUCUGCAAAACCGUAAGGUGACGUAUAGGGGCUGACGCCUGCCCGGUGCUGGAAGGUUAAGGGGAGUGCUUAGCGCAAGCGAAGGUGCGAACUGAAGCCCCAGUAAACGGCGGCCGUAACUAUAACGGUCCUAAGGUAGCGAAAUUCCUUGUCGGGUAAGUUCCGACCCGCACGAAAGGCGUAACGAUCUGGGCACUGUCUCAACGAGAGACUCGGUGAAAUUAUAGUACCUGUGAAGAUGCAGGUUACCCGCGACAGGACGGAAAGACCCCGUGGAGCUUUACUGCAGCCUGAUAUUGAAUUUUGGUGCAACUUGUACAGGAUAGGUAGGAGCCAGAGAACCCGGAGCGCCAGCUUCGGGGGAGGCGUCGGUGGGAUACUACCCUGGUUGUAUUGAAAUUCUAACCCACGCCCCUGAUCGGGGCGGGAGACAGUGUCAGGCGGGCAGUUUGACUGGGGCGGUCGCCUCCUAAAGAGUAACGGAGGCGCCCAAAGGUUCCCUCAGAAUGGUUGGAAAUCAUUCGCAGAGUGUAAAGGCACAAGGGAGCUUGACUGCGAGACGUACAGGUCGAGCAGGGUCGAAAGACGGGCUUAGUGAUCCGGUGGUUCCGCAUGGAAGGGCCAUCGCUCAACGGAUAAAAGCUACCCCGGGGAUAACAGGCUUAUCUCCCCCAAGAGUCCACAUCGACGGGGAGGUUUGGCACCUCGAUGUCGGCUCAUCGCAUCCUGGGGCUGUAGUCGGUCCCAAGGGUUGGGCUGUUCGCCCAUUAAAGCGGUACGCGAGCUGGGUUCAGAACGUCGUGAGACAGUUCGGUCCCUAUCCGUCGCGGGCGCAGGAAAUUUGAGAGGAGCUGUCCUUAGUACGAGAGGACCGGGAUGGACACACCGCUGGUGUACCAGUUGUUCCGCCAGGGGCAUCGCUGGGUAGCUAUGUGUGGCCGGGAUAAGUGCUGAAAGCAUCUAAGCACGAAGCCCCCCUCAAGAUGAGAUUUCCCAUUGCGCAAGCAAGUAAGAUCCCUCAAAGACGAUGAGGUAGAUAGGUUCGGGGUGGAAGCGCGGCGACGCGUGCAGCUGACGAAUACUAAUCGAUCGAGGACUUAACCAA
rnacentral:rRNA from 1 species